rnacentral:tRNA from 1 species
GACUCAGUGGUCGAUUGGUAAAGCGCUCGUCGCGGAAACAGAGGAUCCUGGGUUCGAUCCCCAAUGGGGUCG